GCCCGUCUAGCUCAGUCCGGUAGAGCAUGAGACUUUUAAAUCUGCAGGGUCGUGGGUUCGAGCCCCACGUUGGGCG